rnacentral:rRNA from 1 species
AGAGUUUGAUCCUGGCUCAGAUUGAACGCUGGCGGCAUGCCUUACACAUGCAAGUCGAACGGUAACGCGGGGGCAACCCUGGCGACGAGUGGCGAACGGGUGAGUAAUACAUCGGAACAUAUCCAGUAGCGGGGGAUAACCUAUCGAAAGAUGGACUAAUACCGCAUACGAUCUACGGAUGAAAGCAGGGGACCGCAAGGCCUUGCACUAUUGGAGUGGCCGAUGUCGGAUUAGCUAGUUGGUGAGGUAAAGGCUUACCAAGGCGACGAUCCGUAGCUGGUCUGAGAGGACGAUCAGCCACACUGGAACUGAGACACGGUCCAGACUCCUACGGGAGGCAGCAGUGGGGAAUUUUGGACAAUGGGCGCAAGCCUGAUCCAGCCAUGCCGCGUGAGUGAAGAAGGCCUUCGGGUUGUAAAGCUCUUUCGGUGAAGACGAAACGGUUAGCGCUAAUAACGCUGACUAAUGACGGUACUCACAGAAGAAGCACCGGCUAACUACGUGCCAGCAGCCGCGGUAAUACGUAGGGUGCAGGCGUUAAUCGGAAUUACUGGGCGUAAAGCGUGCGCAGGCGGUUUGCUAAGACAGGUGUGAAAUCCCCGAGCUUAACUUGGGAAUUGCGCUUGUAACUGGCAAGCUAGAGUGUGGCAGAGGGGGGUGGAAUUCCACGUGUAGCAGUGAAAUGCGUAGAUAUGUGGAGGAACACCGAUGGCGAAGGCAGCCCCCCGGGGUUAACACUGACGCUCAUGCACGAAAGCGUGGGGAGCAAACAGGAUUAGAUACCCUGGUAGUCCACGCCCUAAACUAUGUCAACUAGUUGUCGGGGAAGAAAUUCCUUGGUAACGAAGCUAACGCGUGAAGUUGACCGCCUGGGGAGUACGGCCGCAAGGUUAAAACUCAAAGGAAUUGACGGGGACCCGCACAAGCGGUGGAUUAUGUGGAUUAAUUCGAUGCAACGCGAAAAACCUUACCUACCCUUGACAUGCUAGGAAGCCCGCAGAGAUGUGGGUGUGCCCGAAAGGGAACCUAGACACAGGUGCUGCAUGGCUGUCGUCAGCUCGUGUCGUGAGAUGUUGGGUUAAGUCCCGCAACGAGCGCAACCCUUGCCAUUAGUUGCUACAUUCAGUUGGGCACUCUAAUGGGACCGCCGGUGACAAACCGGAGGAAGGUGGGGAUGACGUCAAGUCCUCAUGGCCCUUAUGGGUAGGGCUUCACACGUAAUACAAUGGUCGGUACAGAGGGCUGCCAACCCGCAAGGGGGAGCUAAUCCCAGAAAGCCGAUCGUAGUCCGGAUUGUAGUCUGCAACUCGACUGCAUGAAGCCGGAAUCGCUAGUAAUCGCGGAUCAGCAUGUCGCGGUGAAUACGUUCCCGGGUCUUGUACACACCGCCCGUCACACCAUGGGAGUGGGUUCCACCAGAAGUAGUUAGCCUAACCGCAAGGAGGGCAAUUACCACGGUGAGAUUCAUGACUGGGGUGAAGUCGUAACAAGGUA